rnacentral:rRNA from 1 species
AUUGAACGCUGGCGGCGUGCCUAACACAUGCAAGUCGAGCGGUAACGCGGGAGCAAUCCUGGCGACGAGCGGCAGACGGGUGAGUAAUGCUUGGGUAUCUGCCCAAUAGUGGGGAAUAACCAGUCGAAAGACUGGCUAAUACCGCAUAAGCCCCCUCUUCUUCGGAAAAGGGGGGAAAGCGGGGAUCGUAAGACCUCGCGCUAAUGGAUGAGCCCAAGUCGGAUUAGCUAGUUGGNGAGGUAACGGCUCACCAAGGCGACGAUCCGUAGCUGGUCUGAGAGGACGACCAGCCACACCGGAACUGAGACACGGUCCGGACUCCUACGGGAGCAGCAGUGGGGAAUAUUGGACAAUGGGGGAAACCCUGAUCCAGCGACGCCGCGUGUGUGAAGAAGGCCCUGCGGGUUGUAAAGCUACUUUUAGUGGGGAUAGAAAGCCUAGAGCUAAUAUCUCUGGGU